rnacentral:rRNA from 1 species
GCUGGCGGUCACAGCGGAGUGGCUACACCUGCUCUCUUUCCGAACGCAGAAGUUAAGCACUCCAGCGAUGUGGUUUGUACUGCAUUUCAUGCGGGAAGGCCGCGACGCUGCCUAGC